AUAGGACAAAUCUGCUGGUUCUUGUCAUGUUGAGGUCAAUCUUUCGAACCCACAUGCGCAGAACACACUCUGGAGACGGGUAGCGGUAAAGGUGAUUUAUUAAAUACUGUGCAAACAGGUAUGUACAAAGGUGGUCCGGAACUGGUGCUCGUCUGUGUGGUUCAGGAUUUUUGCCGGUGAGCU